rnacentral:rRNA from 1 species
ACUGAGCGGCGGACGGGUGAGUAACGCGUGGGUAACCUGCCUUACACAGGGGGAUAACAGUUAGAAAUGACUGCUAAUACCGCAUAAGACCCCGGUACCGCAUGGUACAGAGGUUAAAAACUGAGGUGGUGUAAGAUGGACCCGCGUCUGAUUAGGUAGUUGGUGAGGUAACGGCUCACCAAGCCGACGAUCAGUAGCCGGCCUGAGAGGGUGGACGGCCACAUUGGGACUGAGACACGGCCCAAACUCCUACGGAAGGCAGCAG